rnacentral:rRNA from 1 species
GAUGAACGCUGGCGGCGUGCCUAAUACAUGCAAGUCGAGCGAACAGACGAGGAGCUUGCUCCUCUGACGUUAGCGGCGGACGGGUGAGUAACACGUGGAUAACCUACCUAUAAGACUGGGAUAACUUCGGGAAACCGGAGCUAAUACCGGAUAAUAUAUUGAACCUCAUGGUUCAAUAGUGAAAGACGGUUUUGCUGUCACUUAUAGAUUGAUCCGCGCCGCAUUAGCUAGUUGGUAAGGUAACGGCUUACCAAGGCAACGAUGCGUAGCCGAACUGAGAGGGUGAUCGGCCACACUGGAACUGAGACACGGUACAGACUACUACGGGAGGAAGCAGUAGGGAAUCUUCCGAAAUGGGCGAAAGCAUGACGGAGCAACGUCGCGUGAGUGAUGAAGGUCUUCGGAUCGUAAAACUCUGUUAUUAGGGAAGAACAAAUGUGUAAGUAACUAUGCACGUCUUGACGGUAACUAAUCAGAAAGCCACGGCUAACUACGUG